rnacentral:misc_RNA from 1 species
UCUCUCCCACAACAAAUAAAAUGAAGUAUGCCGGAACUACCCUUCUGCAACCCCCCAAAAAAUCCCAUCUUCAUCACUGUCUCAACUCUCAAAAGAAACAUUUUUUUCACCGAAUUAUGUGGGCUUCUUUGGGUUUUCUUUGUCUCGGUCAGAGUUUCACAGAGAAAACAGGAAAGCGAGAACCUUCCCAUCUCUCUCUUUCUUGUUUCUCUCUCUGUCUCUCUCUGACCUCUUCUUUCCCUUCCCUUUAUUAUUUCUUUCCCAUCUCUUUCUCUAUCUUCUUUCUCACUGAACUCUCUUCAUUUCUCUAUUUCUCUCCCCCUUUUUCUCUAUUUCUCUCCUUUCCCAAAUACAGCUCCCCGUUUUGCCUUGUGGGUAGUUUUUUUUUUUUCUUUUUUUUAAUAUCGUAUUCGAUCUGAUGAUGAAGAGAAUGAAGGGGGUUGCUGCUGCUAUGGAGUCUUCUCCAUAUGCAAUCUUAUAUGAGGUUCAGAGGACCAGGCUCAAGCAUCAAAGUCUUAUGCAGGAUUAUGAGGAGUUGUACAAGGAAACAGAAUCUCAGAAAAGGAAAUUGGAGAUGAUGAAACAGAAAAGAUUGACCCUAUUGUCUGAAGUCAGGUUUCUGAGGCAACGGUACGAGUUCUUGAUGCAAAACCAGUCUCAAAACCCUGCUCCUGCACCAAAGUACAUAAAGAAACAGAACUUAAUAAAUGUUAAUAGAACUGUAAGGAAAGAAAGGAAUUACACUGGGAAUGAUGCCGCCGUGCAGCGCCAAGCUCCACAAUUUGAUUUAAACAGAAAGGGUAAGAAGGUUUAUAGUGAAAGAGAAGCUGCUUUGCAAACUGCUGGUCCAGUAUUCGACUUGAGCCAGAAGCAGAAGACUUAUAUUGGGAAGGAGGCUGCAUUGCGAAAUUCAGCAACAAAUCUAGAACUGAAUUUAAAGGAAAGAAUUUACAGUGGAAAAGAAGCUGCUGCUAGAAACAAUGCUCCAAUUUUUGAUCUGAACCAGAUUUCGAGGGAGGAGGAAGAAUUACAGGCCAAUGGAGAGGUGAUGAGAAUAGAUGAGCCAAAGAUAUCAUUAAUAAGGGGUGGGAGUGAUGAACACCACAGUGAUAUGAAGUUAUCAGCUUGUAGGAGUGCUGGAAAUGGAUCAGGUCGGGCAGGUAAGAGGAAGAUUUCAUGGCAGGAU